CUGCCUUUUAGACUGGAACAACUUACCGAAAGGUGAGCUAAUGCCGGAUGAGUUAUAUAAGUGCAUGUUUAUAUAGGAAAAGUUGGGGAGACCUGACGCUGAAAGAUGGACUCGCGUCCCAUUAGCUAGUUGGUAGGGUAAUGGCCUACCAAGGCGACGAUGGGUAGCCGGCCUGAGAGGGUGACCGGCCACACUGGGACUGAGACACGGCCCAGACUCCUACGGGAGGCAGCAGUGGGGAAUUUUGCGCAAUGCUCGUAAGAGUGACGCAGCGACGCCGCGUGAAUGACGAAGGCCUUCGGGUCGUAAAGUUCUUUCGACAGGGAAGAAAAUGCCUAUAAGUAACUGUGUAUGUAUUGACGGUACCUGUAUAAGCAGCCCCGGCUAACUCCGUGCCAGCAGCCGCGGUAAUACGGAGGGGGCGAGCGUUGUUCGGAGUGACUGGGCGUAAAGAGCACGUAGGCGGUGUUGUAAGUCAUUAGUCAAAGACUAGAGCUCAACUUUAGUAAGGCUAGUGAUACUAUAAUACUAGAGUAUCAGAGAGGAUUGCAGAAUUCCUGGUGUAGCGGUGAAAUGCGUAGAUAUCAGGAGGAAUACCGUUAGCGAAGGCGGCAAUCUGGCUGGAAACUGACGCUGAGGUGCGAAAGCGUGGGUAGCAAACAGGAUUAGAUACCCUGGUAGUCCACGCUGU
rnacentral:rRNA from 1 species